rnacentral:rRNA from 1 species
AUUGAACGCUAGCGGGAUGCCUUACACAUGCAAGUCGAACGGAGUGGCGAACGGGUGAGUAAUGUAUCGGAAUGUGCCCAGUAGCGGGGGAUAACUACGCGAAAGCGUAGCUAAUACCGCAUACUAUUGGAGCGGCCGAUAUCGGAUUAGCUGGUUGGUGGGGGAACGGCUAACCAAGGCGACGACCCGUAGCUGGUUUGAGAGGACGACCAGCCAAAUGGGGACUGAGACACGGCCCAGACUCCUACGGGAGGCAGCAGUGGGGAAUUUUGGACAAUGGGGGAAAGCCUGAUGCAGCCAUCCCGCGUGUGCGAUGAAGGCCUUCGGGUUGUAAAGCACUUUUAGCAGGAAGGCGGUACCGGCAGAAUAAGCACCGGCUAACUACGUGCCAGCAGCCGCGGUAAUAC